AGAACGAACGCUGGCGGUAUGCCUAACACAUGCAAGUCGAACGCUCACCGGGCUUCGGUUCGGUGGGAGUGGCGCACGGGUGAGUAGCGCGUGGGAACCUGCCCUGUUGUGGGGGAUAACCGAGGGAAACUUCGGCUAAUACCGCAUGCGCCCGGGGAAACCCGGGGAAAGAUUUAUCGCAGCAGGAGGGGCCCGCGUCGGAUUAGGUAGUUGGUAGGGUAACGGCCUACCAAGCCUUUGAUCCGUAGCUGGUCUGAGAGGAUGAUCAGCCACACUGGGACUGAGACACGGCCCAGACUCCUACGGGAGGCAGCAGUGGGGAAUAUUGGACAAUGGGCGCAAGCCUGAUCCAGCAAUGCCGCGUGAGUGAUGAAGGCCUUAGGGUUGUAAAGCUCUUUCGCCCGCGACGAUGAUGACGGUAGCGGGAGAAGAAGCCCCGGCUAACUUCGCGCCAGCAGCCGC
rnacentral:rRNA from 1 species